UACGGGGGGGGCAAGCGUUGUUCGGAAUUACUGGGCGUAAAGGGCUCGUAAGCGGCCAACUAAGUCAGACGUGAAAUCCCUCGGCUUAACCGGGGAACUGCGUCUGAUACUGGGUGGCUUGAAUCCGGGAGAGGGAUGCGGAAUUCCAGGUGUAGCGGUGAAAUGCGUAGAUAUCUGGAGGAACACCGGUGGCGAAGGCGGCAUCCUGGACCGGUAUUGACGCUGAGGAGCGAAAGCCAGGGGAGCAAACGGG
rnacentral:rRNA from 1 species